GAUGAACGCUGACAGAAUGCUUAACACAUGCAAGUCAACUUGAAUUUGGGUUUUUAACUUAGGUUUGGGUGGCGGACGGGUGAGUAACGCGUAAAGAACUUGCCUCACAGCUAGGGACAACAUUUGGAAACGAAUGCUAAUACCUAAUAUUAUGAUAAUAGGGCAUCCUAUAAUUAUGAAAGCUAUAAGCGCUGUGAGAGAGCUUGCGUCCCAUUAGCUAGUUGGAGAGGUAACGGCUCACCAAGGCGAUGAUGGGUAGCCGGCCUGAGAGGGUGAUCGGCCACAAGGGGACUGAGACACGGCCCUUACUCCUACGGGAGGCAGCAGUGGGGAAUAUUGGACAAUGGACCAAGAGUCUGAUCCAGCAAUUCUGUGUGCACGAUGAAGUUUUUCGGAAUGUAAAGUGCUUUCAGUUGGGAAGAAAGAAAUGACGGUACCAACAGAAGAAGUGACGGCUAAAUACGUGCCAGCAGCCGCGGUAAUACGUAUGUCACGAGCGUUAUCCGGAUUUAUUGGGCGUAAAGCGCGUCUAGGUGGUUAUGUAAGUCUGAUGUGAAAAUGCAGGGCUCAACUCUGUAUUGCGUUGGAAACUGUAUAACUAGAGUACUGGAGAGGUAAGCGGAACUACAAGUGUAGAGGUGAAAUUCGUAGAUAUUUGUAGGAAUGCCGAUGGGGAAGCCAGCUUACUGGACAGAUACUGACGCUGAAGCGCGAAAGCGUGGGUAGCAAACAGG
rnacentral:rRNA from 1 species